GGGGGGGGGGGGGGGGGGGGGGGGGGGGGGGGGGGGGGGGGGGGGGGGGGGGGGUGGGGGGGGGGCGCGGGUGGCGGGGGGGUGAGUGAGGGGGGGGUGACGUGCCCUUGGCUUUGGGAGGACUUCCGGACGCUGGGGCGGAUACCGGAUGGGAGCGCCUGCUGCCUGGUGGGGGGUGGAGAGUUUCGGCGGUUGGGGCUGGACUCGCGGCUUAUCAGCUUGUUGGUGGGGUAGUGGCUUACCAAGCCUUUGACGGGUAGCCGGCCUGAGAGGGUGACCGGCCACAUUGGGACUGAGAGACGGCCCAGACUCCUACGGGAGGCAGCAGUGGGGAAUAUUGCACAAUGGGCGGAAGCCUGAUGCAGCAACGCCGCGUGCGGGAUGACGGCCUUCGGGUUGUAAACCGCUUUCGCCUGUGACGAAGCGUGAGUGACGGUAAUGGGUAAAGAAGCACCGGCUAACUACGUG
rnacentral:rRNA from 1 species